UCUUUCUCUGCCUCUGUGGUGGAUAGUGGAGUGUUUCCCAUGUGGUAUUGGUGUGCUGAAUAUCCCUUCACUGGUAGCCUGGUAACAUACACUCCCAGGUCUUUCUCUGCCUCUGUGGUGGAUAGUGGAGUGUUUCCCAUGUGGUAUUGGUGUGCUGGAUAUCCCUUCACUGGUAGCCUGGUAACAUACACUCCCAGGUCUUUCUCUGCCUCUGUGGUGGAUAGUGGAGUGUUUCCCAUGUGGUAUUGGUGUGCUGGAUAUCCUCUCCCAAGGUGCAGGACUUUACAUUUUUCUGCACU